UCGGGAAUUUUGGGCAAUGGGCGAAAGCCUGACCCAGCAACGCCGCGUGAAGGAUGAGGUAUUUCGGUAUGUAAACUUCGAAAGAAUAGGAAGAAUAAAUGACGGUACUAUUUAUAAGGUCCGGCUAACUACGUGCCAGCAGCCGCGGUAAUACGUAGGGACCAAGCGUUGUUCGGAUUUACUGGGCGUAAAGGGCGCGUAGGCGGCAAUUCAAGUCAUCUGUGAAAUCUCCGGGCUUAACUCGGAACGGUCAGAUGAUACUGCUUUGCUAGAGUGCAGAAGGGGCAAUCGGAAUUCUUGGUGUAGCGGUGAAAUGCGUAGAUAUCAAGAGGAACACCUGAGGUGAAGACGGGUUGCUGGGCUGACACUGACGCUGAGGCGCGAAAGCCAGGGGAGCAAACGGGAUUAGAUACCCAAGUAGUCCCUGAGCGGGCUGGCAAGGCGCAU
rnacentral:rRNA from 1 species